AACUACAGCCAUGCCACCCUGCAUGUGCCUGAUCCCAUCUCAUCUCGGAAGCUAAGCAGGAUUGGGCCUGGUUAGUACUUGGAUGGGAGAUCGCCUAGGAAGACCAGGUGCUGUAGGCG
rnacentral:rRNA from 1 species